rnacentral:rRNA from 1 species
CACGUAGGGGGCGAGCGUUUGUCCGGAUUUAUUGGGCGUAAAGAGCUCGUAGGCGGCUCGGUAAGUCAGGUGUGAAAACUCUAGGCUCAACCUAGAGACGCCACCUGAUACUGCCGUGGCUAGAGUCCGGUAGGGGAGCAUGGAAUUCCUGGUGUAGCGGUGAAAUGCGCAGGAUAUCAGGAGGAACACCGGUGGCGAAGGCGGUUCUCUGGGCCUUACCUGACACUGAGGAGCGAAAGCGUGGGGAGCGAACAGG